AUUGAACGCUGGCGGCAGGCUUAACACAUGCAAGUCGAGCGGAGAUGAGGUGCUUGCACCUUAUCUUAGCGGCGGACGGGUGAGUAAUGCUUAGGAAUCUGCCUAUUAGUGGGGGACAACAUUCCGAAAGGAAUGCUAAUACCGCAUACGCCCUACGGGGGAAAGCAGGGGAUCUUCGGACCUUGCGCUAAUAGAUGAGCCUAAGUCGGAUUAGCUAGUUGGUGGGGUAAAGGCCUACCAAGGCGACGAUCUGUAGCGGGUCUGAGAGGAUGAUCCGCCACACUGGGACUGAGACACGGCCCAGACUCCUACGGGAGGCAGCAGUGGGGAAUAUUGGACAACGGGCGGAAGCCUGAUCCAGCCAUGCCGCGUGUGUGAAGAAGGCCUUUUGGUUGUAAAGCGCUUUAAGCGAGGAGGAGGCUGCCUGGAUUAAUACUCUAGGAUAGUGGACGUUACUCGCAGAAUAAGUACCGGCUAACUCUGUGCCAGCCGCCGCGGUAAAAC
rnacentral:rRNA from 1 species